rnacentral:rRNA from 1 species
CCUACGGGGAGCUGCAGUGGGGAAUAUUGGACAAUGGGCGAAAGCCUGAUCCAGCCAUGCCGCGUGUGUGAAGAAGGCCUUCGGGUUGUAAAGCACUUUCAGUGGGGAAGAAAGCCUUGGGGCUAAUACCCUCGAGGAAGGACAUCACCCACAGAAGAAGCACCGGCUAACUCCGUGCCAGCAGCCGCGGUAAUACGGAGGGUGCGAGCGUUAAUCGGAAUUACUGGGCGUAAAGCGCGCGUAGGCGGUCUGAUAAGCCGGUUGUGAAAGCCCCGGGCUCAACCUGGGAACGGCAUCCGGAACUGGCAGGCUAGGGUGCAGGAGAGGAAGGUAGAAUUCCCGGUGUAGCGGUGAAAUGCGUAGAGAUCGGGAGGAAUACCAGUGGCGAAGGCGGCCUUCUGGACUGACACUGACGCUGAGGUUCGAAAGCGUGGGUAGCAAACAGGAUUAGAUACCCGGGUAGUC